rnacentral:rRNA from 1 species
CGUACACACCGCCCGUCAACACCAUGGGAGUGGGUUGCACCAGAAGUAGCCUAGUCGUAACCUUCGGGAGGACGGUUACCACGGUGUGAUUCAUGACUGGGGUG